rnacentral:lncRNA from 1 species
AGGCCACUGCUGCUCAUUAAAAAAGAUAAAAGAAAGAAAUAGCAGCCCAUUUUUCUUCUUCUGAAAGUAGCGAAAAAACAAAAAGAAAGAGGACAGAGACAACAGAUCCCCACUAGACAAAUAAACCCUAGCCGCCUCCUUCCCCUUCUUCACUCUUCUCUUCUCACCUCUCCCAUUGAUUUAAAAUUUUUAAUUUUUGUAUUGAGAUCUGAAAGCUAAUUCUUUUUCCUGAUUUUUCAAAAGAGCUAUGGAAUCCAAACCGAUGGUUGCUUUUCUCCAUUCUAGUAUUUGAGUUCCUCCCUAGAGUUUUGGCCUCUAUUUGAUGUGGGUUGCUAUUUUUGCUGCUGCCGAGUUACUUUUUGCGAAAUUAGUUGAACGGCGAGGUUUCGAGCUCCGAUCAGCAGUCAAUUUCCUGUUUUGUCCGACUUUGAAGUACAGAUGUAAUAUUUAAAACAAAGUUCGACAAUACAAAGGUCCAUCCUUCUUCCUCUUUACGAAUUAUUGGCUAUUUCGUUACAUUUUUUUAAUAUGUUAUUAUGUUUUCUCUAUAUGAACGACCACAUGAGAAUGUUAAUCUGUAUAAUUAUUUAAAUGUUAAUAAGCUAUGUUUGCUUCUCUACAUUGUAAAUAGCUAGAUCUGAAUGAGUUCAUGUUUUUUGUUUCAUUAAUAUUUAUCGUUUUGCUUUAUGAGUGAUUUUGUUGGAAUUGAAAAAUAAUACGGUAGAGUUAAGUUCAGAUGUUCUUCUUAGAGAUUUCUUUAAUAUUAAUGGGUCACGUGCUUUUUGACUUAAAACAUUGAUAAUUGGAUUUAAGAUUAAUUAUUGAUGAAAUUAUUUCAAUAAAAUAGUAGGGAGUUUGCUUUCGUUCUUCUUGGAUGAUAACGACAAUGAAUCCUGUUAAGUUUAGUUGGAUCUACCUACAGCUAGUCUAUUUUUUUAUGUCUUUAAAUAAUUAUACGUAAAAAUAAUAGAAACAUUAGCAAGCCUUUAGCACAAAGUUAAUAAGUUGCAACACUAGCUCUAAUUUCAAAUACCUCUUUUAAAUAAGUUUAAUAACCCUUAGCAUUGAAUCUUAUACUCUCCCGAUAAACAUCCAUAAUCUUUUGGCCUCAUACUAAUCCCAAAUGUAGCAAGAAUUAACAUCGCUGUUUUAGGCGUGCUCCAAUUAAUAAUUAAAUAUCAUGAUUAUAGGUACGGUUCCCGUGACAUAGAUGGGAUACGUAACCCCAAAUACAAAGUGCACGUUCACGCGACUUGACCAAUAAACUUUGAAUAGUAGUAAAUAUGUUAUUGAUUGUGUACGUACGCAUGACAUGAUUCUUGACACGCCAAAUAAAGUGAGUACACCUACGCGUGACUUGUUUCAAGAUAAUUUUCAUAAUUCUAAUCAAGAAAUAAAAUCGGACAUAGGUAAAACAUGAAAGCCAAUACAACACAGUUUAUCCAAAACAUUAUAUAAGCCAAAUGUAGUCAAUAAAGCGACCAUGCUAGAACUACGGGACUCGAAAAAUGCCUUACACCUUCUCCCCGGUCAACAGAAUUUCUUACCCCGACUUUAUUUUCGGAAACCAAUAAUAAUGGAGUCAAAUCUUCCUUUGACUAGGGAUUCAAAUAAAAGGUGACUUGGAACACCCAAAAACUCUAUUCCAAGUGACGACUCAUUAAAUAAAAUAAUCCCUACUCAAGUUUGUCACUUUAAUUGGAAAAACUCUUUAACUCAAAUCAAUUCACACAUAAUAUAUAUCUUUUCAGGGUAAAAAGGUGUGUGACACUGAGUAUGUAAGGUAAUAAAAUAAUUGAACGUAUUUGGGAGUCAAAGAUAAUCGAAGGUAUGCUUACAUGUUAAUACUGACUCAACUCUUUCAAUAUAGUAAGUAAAAUAGCUAUCUGACCCUAGAAGGCUAGGUACGAUGUAACUGCUCGGUCGUAGUAGGCGCACUCAUAGGCACUCGACNNNNNNNNNNNNNNNNNNNNNNNNNNNNNNNNNNNNNNNNNNNNNNNNNNNNNNNNNNNNNNNNNNNNNNNNNNNNNNNNNNNNNNNNNNNNNNNNNNNNNNNNNNNNNNNNNNNNNNNNNNNNNNNNNNNNNNNNNNNNNNNNNNNNNNNNNNNNNNNNNNNNNNNNNNNNNNNNNNNNNNNNNNNNNNNNNNNNNNNNNNNNNNNNNNNNNNNNNNNNNNNNNNNNNNNNNNNNNNNNNNNNNNNNNNNNNNNNNNNNNNNNNNNNNNNNNNNNNNNNNNNNNNNNNNNNNNNNNNNNNNNNNNNNNNNNNNNNNNNNNNNNNNNNNNNNNNNNNNNNNNNNNNNNNNNNNNNNNNNNNNNNNNNNNNNNNNNNNNNNNNNNNNNNNNNNNNNNNNNNNNNNNNNNNNNNNNNNNNNNNNNNNNNNNNNNNNNNNNNNNNNNNNNNNNNNNNNNNNNNNNNNNNNNNNNNNNNNNNNNNNNNNNNNNNNNNNNNNNNNNNNNNNNNNNNNNNNNNNNNNNNNNNNNNNNNNNNNNNNNNNNNNNNNNNNNNNNNNNNNNNNNNNNNNNNNNNNNNNNUAUAUAUAUAUAUAUAUAUAUAUAUGCCCGAUGUACUUCAACCUUAAGCUAAUCGAAACCAACUGAAACUCAAGGUCACUUCACCUGGAAAUAACCCCUGAUCAUGCCCAGCUCUAGUCCUAAAAAGGAUAAGCGAUCGCUGCAAAUAUAAUCCUGUCUAAGAGUCCGGAGUCGGAUCCCAGAGAAAACUAAGGUUUAGCUACAACUGUUGACCAUCACUAAGAAGACAAGCUCGAAUAAUUUCUAAGUUAUAAAUAUAAAGAUUCUUAUGUUAAACUAUUUAGCUGAAUUAAUAACUAAAGAUACUAAGGGAUGGAGACAAGAUUAAGGAUGUCUGGUGUUAAGAUUUCCUCAAUUAUCGGAAUCCUUACUACUACGUCUUCUUUUAUUUCGUCUAAUUAUUCUCUGCCAAUCGUGAGUAUUUCAUGUGUCAUAAUUCUCUCUCAAGCAACUAUCAUAGUUUACUAGACAUAUUCUCUCAAACUAUACUAGUUGGCACUAAUUCACCGCUCACUACAAUCGUACCAAGGUUUCAUUAUCUCUAGUCCUGCCUUUAAACCCUUCGUAUUGAUCUCUCACAUACGUUAGGAGUGAUGUUGUUAAGAAAUUUCCUAAAUAUGUACCCUCUCUCAAGCAAUACAUACUAAAUAGGCACAAUCAAUUGAUGGUCAUUCAAUCAACAACAAUAAACACGUAGUUGAACAAGUAGAGAAAUCCAAUGGCUCAAUUAUAUAAAAACAGAAUAAGAAUUCAUCCUAUAAAAGGUUCCAUCAACAUCCUAGAUAACAAAUUAGCUAUCCAUAAUAGUAUGCAAAACUACAAUACUAGAAUUCAUAACCAAUAAUGGAAAUAGGAAGAAGAAAGUAAAAAACUCGUAGAAGAAUUCUCCGUCUUACUCCUACCGUGUUCUUGCCUCCUUAGGUCGAAUUCCCUUUCCAAAAACGUCCUCCCUCUCUAAAAAAAUAUCCUUCCUUCUUAGAAAUGUUUAGGGAGUAUUUAUAGGCUAGGGUGAAGUCUCUCAAUCCAAAUCCGGGCCAAAGCCUUUAAAUUCAUGCACUUUUGAUCACCGGGAUAUAGACCUCGCGAGGCCAGGCUUAUAGCGCGGUCGGUCUGGCUACAGAGUUGGAUACGUCUAGCCUGUCGCGUGGUCAAGAUGGAUAAAUAGCUGGCUAUGCUUGGCCUGUAGCACAGUCAAGCUAGCUAUAGAUCUAGCUAUACUUGGCCUUUAGCACGGUAAAGAUGGCUACAAAGCUGGCUAUGCUUGGCCUGUAGCCAAGCUUGGAUCUUCGUGAUUUUGUGCUCUUUUCUCGUAUUUUUGUCCUCUUUUUGUGUAACAUUCACUCGGCUUUUUCUUUCGAUGCACCUACACAUAAAACAACAUAAUUUAGCUCAAAGGUAGCUCAAUUAAUCACUAAACCAACAAAAUAUAGGGCAAGUAAUGUACUAAAAGUAUAGCAUUUUGGCCAAACAUCAUCACCCCACACUUAGAUAUUUCUCGUCCUCGAGUAAACCACUAAUUCAUAUUAAUCUACAACACUUUAUUUUUUUAACACAUCCGAAGCAUACCAUACUUAUGACUAUGGGUGAUAGCAACAAUUAAACUUUAGAAUAUGCCUUCAAUACACACUUCUCUUUACUUUAUGCCAUACUUCAAAAGUUUAUUCAACACCAAGACAACAUGCUCAUAACAAUCACAGUCUCACAAACCGAAUCAAUAUCGAAAUGCAUUUGUGGAUUGAACACUUAAUAUCAUAAAGACAUCUAAUAACGUCCCCUAUCCCUUGUGAAAUCAUAUGCCCUCACAACAAGAGCAAAGGAGUAAGUCAAAUCCACACACUCGAAUCAAAUGCUCAAAUAUUUUUUAGGGCAUCAGAUAAAUAAAAGACAUUCCUCACACUCACAAAUAAGUCACAUGCAUGCACAAAGUACCAUAGGCUUUCCCUUUAUGUAAAUCUCUACUAAUGUAGGCCCGCUCGAUCUAAAAUCAAGUAGGAUUUUUUUCUGGUUGUAACGUGGGCUAAGAGGACAGGUAGGAUAUGUUUUGAAAUAUUGACUAAUCCUCCUAAGCAUUAACACAUCACAUAUUUCUUUACGCACAAAUAUUUCAACAUAACUUCAAUUUCAUAAACAAUAUCACUCACAAUACUUUAAUUCAUACCCACUGUAAUGACACGACCGGUCGUUUUGCUUUCUAGUCCCCGUUUCCCUAAAUAAGACUCUCUAUAUGUGAUUUUAUAAUUUUAUAACUGGUGGGGAUGGUUGAUUUAGGUUUGGAAGGGUUCGGGUUGAAAUCGGAACACUCAGUUCCUUAAUAGUGGCCUAAGGUGGCCAAGUUUGACUUGAGUCAAUAUUUUGAAUAAACGAUCUCAGAACCGGGAUUGAAGGUUCCAAUAAGUUUGGUUAAUGAUUUUGGAUUUUGGAGCGUGCCCGGAUGUCGAUUUGGAGGUCCGUAGGUCAUUUGGCUUGAAUUAGCGAAAGUUAGAAAGUUGAAGGUUUGGAAGGUUGAGAAGUUUGACCGGGAAUUGACAUUAUUGAUAUUGGGGUUGGAUUUCAAUUCCCAAAGUUGGAAUAGGUCCGUUAUAUCAUUUAUGACUUGUGUGCAAAAUUUGAGGUCAAUCAAAGUUGUUUUGGUAUGAUUCGGUGUAGGUUUUGGAAGUCAGAUGUUCAUAGUUUCAAUACGCUUGAAUUGGGUUAAGAUUCAUAGAAUCGACGUUGUUUGAUGUGAUGUGUAGUCCGAAUAGGUCUCUUAUGUGUUUUGGAACUUUUUUGUGUACUCAAACGGGGGCCCGGGUGUGAUUCUGAUUGAAUAAGAUCAUUUUGGACUUUGGUUGAUUUGUUGAACUUGCUAUUGUUCUGGUGUCAUUGCAUCUGUGGAGGGUUUGGUUGUAGAUGCAUGAGGAUUGAUCGAAGAAGCGGCCUGGAUUGAGCUUGGCAGUGAUCUCAGAUUUGAGGUUCUUUCUGCAUCUUCGAGCUCGCCUGUGCGAGGAAAUUGAUCGCAGAUGCGAAUGAGGUCAGGGAGGCCUGGGGUUGCAGGAGCAGAGGUCUCUCCACAGGCGCAAGUGCGUAGGUGCGCCCAGUCUAUGCAGAAGCGGAUGCGCAGGUGCGCAUGUAUCUACGCAGAAACGGACUUGCCCGACCCUAGUGGGAACCGCAACUGCGAUGAUUUUUCCACUGGUGGGGCCUAACAGGUGUGACCAUAUGCCCGCGGAAGCGAGGAUCGCUGGGUAGUGAGUGCAUUUAAUCCGGGACUUAAGAUAUUUUCCACACACCUUCACUUGGUCUUGGGCAAUUUUGGUAGCAUGUUUGAAGGGGAUUCUCAUCAACAACACAAGGUAAGUAAACUCCACCCAUUUUUAAUUUAAAUACACGGAUUAUAGGUAGAUUAAACAUGGAAAAUUAGUAAAACUUGUGGGAUUUUGUGAAGAACCUAGGGUUUAAGUACAAUUGAGAUUUGAUCAUGGAUUCAGUGAUGAAAAUUAUAAUAAACUAUAUAUUUGCGUUCGGGAGGUCAUGGGUAACAUUUAUAUUUGAAACUUUUCGGAAUCCGGGCACGUGGAAUCGGGGUGAAUUUUUAGGAGUCUUCCAAAUUAGGUUGGGUAACUACUAUAAUAGCUAAAUUAUGAACGUUUGAGCCUAUAUUUAUUUGUUUAAAUGACUUUUGAUUAUUUUUGGAGUCCUCGGCAUUAUUUGAGGAGUUCUAGUGAGGUUGAAGAACCAGAUUGAGGACUUAGAACCGAGGCAAGUCUCUUGAGGGAAUUUAUCCCCUUAGGUGCAACAAUUGUUGUGUGCUACUUGUUGUAGGGAGCUAUGUACGCACGAGGUGACGAGAGACUGUACGUAUCUAUAUUCAUGAUAUGUCCUGGUAGACUUAGAUUCACAUCAUUCCUUUAAUUGUGCAUUUAUGCCUAUCUUGUGCAUUAAAUUUCUUGAUUUUGACUGAGAUCAAAGUUUUUAAUAAAGAUAUCAGCUUAGCCUCUACUUUGGUAAAUUUGGGAAAUAUUUGAUAAACUAUAGAUCUGUGUCUUCUCGUCUUGCACGUGCUUCCGCGAGCGAGGUAAAUUUCUCUACUCUUAUAGGAUCGGGUCAUUCGCCUAGGCAGUGACAUAAAUUAAUCUUAUGGGAUCGGACCGUUCGCCUCGGAAGAAUGGUAACACUACUCUUAUGGGGUCGGGUUGUUCGCCUCGACAGGUUGGUAACACUAUUCUUAUGGAAUCAGGCCAUUUGCCUCGGCAGUACUGAGUACAAUUAUUCCUAUGGGAUUAGGCCGUUCGCCUCGAUAGCUUCGUGCUUAAUAAUUAGAAUUGGGAUUGAUUUGGUAAUAAAUGAGUUAGUGCCUUCAAGGCCGAUUAUGACAUGUUUAGCGAAUUGAUAUACACUCAUGUAUGAAAUUACUGUAGUUACUUCUAUUUGCUUCGUUGCAACUUGUUGUACAUUCAACAUGUCUAUUUUAUGUAUUUUCAUUAUUAUUAGACCUCUAGUAACUGUCAAGUAGACCCCUCGUCAUUGCCCCUUCGAGGUUACACUAGAUACUUACUGGGUACGCGAUAUUUUGUGUACUCACGCUACACUUCUGCACUGAUGUGCAGACACUGAGACAAGUACUACACUUCUACACUGAUGAGCUACUUGCCUUGCUAUGAUCCGUAGCACCGGAGUCUCCCUCUACAUUGAUUAUUAUUUCUGUCUAUUACCUUUCAGACAGUAGUUGUAUUAGUUUUGUAUAUUCCCUAGAUUGCUCAUGCACUUGCGGCACCGGGUUUUGGAGACUUUUAGCAUUUAUGUAUUGUUGUACUUAUCAUUUCUAUCACUAUAAUAGAUGUAUUUAUCACGCUAGCAUUAUGUUGAGAAAAGAUUAUGUACGGUUGCAUGAAAUCUUAUUUAAUUUGUUCUUCUAAAAGUAAAACUUUUGUUUUAAGUGUUAAAAUGGGGGUAAUUAAAUUAUAGUUUUACUUGUAGGCUUGCCUAAAGGCGGCGUUAGGUACUAUCGCGACCUAUUAUUGAUUUUGGGUAGAUACAACUUGUAAUCAGAGUUUUAGGUUCACAUAGGUCUCACAGGUCAUGAUCAAGCCUAGUAAAGUCUUGCGGAUCGACGCGGAGACGUUGAUACUUAUCUUCGAGAGGCUAUAGGGUCUUGGAAAACUUCUCUUUCUUCAUCUCCUAUCAUGCAGUUGAUAUUGUGCUAAGUAUCUUUCUAUUGAUCUCUUACAGAUUGUAAGAACGUACGCGGCGGAUGUACUAGGUGGUACAGUAGUUGCUCCCCCCGUUACAAGCGCCCGGGGGAGGGCUCCAACUGAUGUCAGAGGAUGAGGGCAUCCUAGAGUUGCUCCCGUGGUACCACCAAUGAAUCUAGUGGAAGAUCCUGUUAUUGAGUUACAGGAUGAGGUACCUGCAGCUUUGCCAGCCCCAACAGAUUUCAUGGACUCUAUGAUGCAGGCUAGUUUAUUUCCAGCAAACCCUAUCACAUCUCAGGCGAGAAGGGGAGCACAAACCCCUACUUCUCAUGCUCCAGGGCACGCUGCUUCCGUUUAUCAGACAACAGGUGCACUACUUGUGGGUGGAGCCCAGUAAGUUGCAACGGUUGUAUCAGUCGCGACCAUUAAUUAACCCAAGCAACUGGACAAAUGGACUAGACUUUGCCUCCCUACCUUUGGGAGUGAGCGGUCAGAGGACUCCCAGGAUUUCAUUGAUAAUGUGAAAAGAUAAGCUACGGAAUAUGGGGAUAUUGGAGUCCAACAAGGUGGACUUCACCACCUUUCAGCUUGAGGGCAAGGCCCGCAGAUGGUGGCAGGCUUACCUUCUUAGCAGGCUAGAAGGUUCACCUUCCUUGACUUGGGAUCAGUUUACGCAUCUGUUCUUGGAGAACUACAUACCACCUUCUGAGAGAGGAGCUUCGUGGUCUGUUUGAGCGACUCCGUCAGGGUCAUAUAUCUAUGACCAACUAUGAGGCGAGAUUCACUGACUUGUAUUGCCAUAUAGCUAUUAUACUCCCCAUAGACGUGGAGAGGGUGCAAAGUUUCAUUGCAGGUCUGCACCCUGAGACUCAGCUUUCUAUGGCACGUGAGGCAGAUAUGGGGACUCCCUUUCAUCAGGUUAUGGAUAUAGCUCGGAGGAUCAAGCGUAUUUGCAACUGUGGCAGAGAGUUUGCACUGAGGUACAAGCGACCUCGGUAGUUUGGAGGAAUUAGUGGUGCCCCACCUGGGGGCAGAGGUUAGUUCAUGAGGGGUCAGUCUAAUAGGCCCAUGCAGUCAGCACCACCGCCUGCUCAGAGUGCUUCAGCACGACCCUACCUCAGUGCCAUUCAAGAGAGUACUUACUGUUCACUCUCUAUUCAGGGUCCCUCCAGUGGGUAUUGAGGUCAUCAGUGUCAGACUUCAUAUUAGUAGUCCACUGCUCCGAGGGGUUGUUUCGAGUGUAGGGAUCUUGGCCACGUGAAGAGGGUUUUUCCCAGAUUUUGGGGCAAGGCCGAGUAGCAGGACCAUCGGCCCAUGAUUAUCAUACCAGCUACUACACCGCCCACUAGGCUGGCUAGAGGUGGAGGGAAGGUGGGUAGGGGUCAUCCUAGAGGUGGAGGCCAGUCAGUUGGUGCUCUAGCUAGAUUAUAUGCUAUCCUUGCCAGGCCAGAGGCAAUCGCCUCCGAUGCAGUGAUCACAUGUACUAUUUCUAUCUGUCGUAGAGAUGCCUCGGUAUAAUUUCAUCUAGGAUAUACUUACUCUUAUGUUUCUUCUCUAUUUUGUCCUUAUCUGGAUGUGUCUCGCGAGUCCUUGGUCGUUCCUGUAUAUAUGUCCACGCCAGUGGGUGAUUCUAUUGUUGUGGAUCGGGCCUACCGGACCAGUGUGGUAACUUUCUGUGGAUAUGAGACCACAUCGGAUCUUUUAUCGCUCGAUAUGGUUGAUUUCAAGGUUAUCUUGGGCAUGGACUGGUUGUCCCCGUACCAUGCCAUUCUUGACUACUAUGCCAAGACUAUUACCUUGGUGAGGUCUGAGUUGCCCAGAUUAUAGUGGAAGGGUUCGUCUGUCGAUACUUCCAACCGGGUUAUUUCUUUCAUGAAGGCUUGACAUAUGGUCGAGAAGGGUUGUUUGGCCUACUUGGCCUUUGUUUGGGAUACUAGUGCUGUGACUCGUGCAUUAGAUUCAGUGUCGAUGGUACGAGUAUUUUCCGAUGUAUUUCUUGCUUAUCUACCAGGCAUGCCGCCGGAUCAGGAUAUCGAUUUCAGCAUUGAUUUGGUGUCAGGCACCCAGCUUAUCUCUACUUUGCCUUAUCAUAUGGCUCCCAAGGAGCUGACAUAGUUAAAAUACAGCUUCAGGAGUUGCUUGAUAAGGGGUUCAUUAGACCCAGUGUGUUGCCUUGGGGCGCACCGGUGUUGUUUGUGAAGAAGAAGGAUGGGAGUAUGCGGAUGUGCAUUAAUUACCGCCAGUUAAACAAAGUCACCAUCAAGAAUAAGUACCCAAUGCCAUGCAUCGAUGAUUUGCUUGACCGGUUGUAGGGUGCAAGGGUAUUCUCUAAGAUCGACUUAAGAUAUGGUAUAAUCAGUUGAAGAUUCGUGCUUCUGAUGAAGAUAGCUUUUCUAACUAGAUAUGGACACUAUGAGUUUUAGUGAUGUCCUUUGGCUUGAAUAACGCCCUGACUGCGUUUAUGGAUUUGAUGAACCGAGUGUUUAGGCCGUAUCUUGACUCACUUGUCAUUGUCUUCAUUGAUGACAUAUUGAUCUACUCGCGUAGUAUGGAGGAGCACGAGCUGUAUUUAAGGUUAGUGCUUCAGACCUUGCGGGAAUAGAAGCUUUACACUAAGUUCUCCAAGUACGAGUUCUGGUUGGAUUCUGUGGCUUUCUUGGGGCAUGUUGUAUCAGGUAAGGGUAUUAAGGUGGAUCCCAGAAAGAUUGAGGCAGUCCAGGGUUGGCCUCGUCCUACCACAGUGACCAAGAUCAGGAGUUUCUUGGGGUUGGUAGGUUAUUAUCGUCAGUUUGUGAAGGGUUUCUCAUUUAUUACAGCACCCUUGACUAGAUUGACCUAGAAGGCUGCUCCAUUCAGAUGGUCCAAUGAUUGCGAGGUGAGCUCUCAGAAGAUCAAGACCACUUUGACUACAUCACUAAUGUUAGUGUUGCCCUCCGGUUCAGGGAUGUAUACCGUGUAUUGCACCGCUUCGCGCAUUGGCUGGGGUUGUGUAUUGAUGCAGGAGGGGCAAUUUAUUACAUAUGCUUCACGUCAGCUGAAGCCCUACCGAGAAGAAUUACCCCGUGCAUUAUUUGGAGUUGGCCGCGAUAGUUCACACUCUCAAAAUCAGGAAGCAUUAUCUCUAUGGGGUGUCAUGUGAGGUUUACACCGAUCAGCAUAGCUUGCAGCAUUUGUUUAGGCAGAUGGACCUUAAUUUGAGGUAGCACAGGUGGCUUGAGUUACUGAAGGACUAUGAUAUUACCAUCUGGCAAAGGCCAAUAUGGUUGCAGAUGCCUUGAGCAGAAAGGCCGAGAGUAUAGGUUGUUUGGCAUUCAUUUUGGUAGAGGAAAGACCAUUAGCUUUGGACAUUUAGUCCUUAGUUAACAGACUUGUGAGGUUGGAUAUUUCAGAUCGCAGUUGAGUUAUUGCAUGUGUUGUGGCUCAGUCUUCAUUACUUGAGCGGAUCAAGGCUUGUCAGUAUGAUGAUUCUCACUUGUUGGUUCUCAGAGAGACGGUGCUACAGGGUAGUUCCAAAGAGAUUACUAUCGGUGAGGAUGGAGUUCUACGACUCCAGGGUCGCCUAUGUGUUCCUAAUGUUGAUGGCUUGAUUGAGAAUAUUCUAGAGGAGGUACACAGUUCACGGUAUUACAUCCAUCCAGGUGCUAUGAAGAUGUAUCACAACCUGAGGUAGAACUAUUGGUGGCGGCGGAUAAAGAAGCACAUAGUUGAGUAUGUAAUGAGGUGUUUGAAUUGCCAGCAGGUUAAAUAUGAGCACUAGAGGUCAGGUUCGUACUCCAGCAUAUGGUUAUACCAGAGUGGAGGUGCAAGCGCAUCACUAUGAACUUCGUAGUUGGGUUGCCGUGGAUGUUUAGAAAUUUUGAUUCUGUUUGGGUCAUUGUCGAUAGGCUGAUCAAGUCGACACACUUUAUUCCGAUGGUGACUACUUACUCUUCAGAGAGGUUGGCUCAGAUUUAUAUUCAGGAGAUUGUCCGAUUGCAUGAUGUGCCUGUUUCCAUAAUAUCAAAUAGAGGCCCUCAGUUCACUUCGCAUUUCUGGAGUGCAGUACAGAGUGUGUUGGGUACCCGAGUAGAGCUUAGCACAGACUUUCAUCCGUAGACCGACGGGUAGUUGGAGCAGACAGUUCAGAUUCUAGAGGAUAUGCUUAGAGCAUGUGUCAUCGACUUCGGAGAGCAGUGGGAUAGAUUCUUGCCCUUGGCCGAGUUUGCUUACAACAACAAUUAUCAGUCCCACAUCAAGAUGGCUCAAUUUGAGGCUUUAUAUGGUCGGCGAUGUCGUUCGCCCAUCGGAUGGUUUGAGCCCGGAGAGGCUAAUUUAUAUGGAACUGAUUUAGUGAAGGAUGCCUUGGAGAAGGUGCAGUUGAUUCAGGAGCGGCUAUGCACAACACAAUCCAGACAUAAGAGUUACGCGGACCAGAAGGUGCAUGAUCUAUCAUUUAUGGUGGGCGAGAAGGUUCUCUUGAAAGGUUCACCUAUGAAAGGCAUCAUGAGGUUCGAGAAAAAGGUUAAGCUGAGCCCAAUGUUUAUCAGCCCAUUUGAGGUGCUGAGGCAAGUUGGCGAGGUUGCUUGUGAGCUUUUUUUGCCUCCCAAUAUAUCGGGAGUACAUUCGGUCUUCCACGUGUCUAUGCUCCGAAGGUACCAUGCCGACAGGUCGCAUGUGUUAGAUUACAACACGGUUCACGUAGAUAAGAGUCUGGGUUAUGAGAAGGAGCCAGUUGCCAUUGAUGACAGGCACGUUUGCCAGUUGAGGUCCAAGAAUAUUUCUUCGAUAAAGGUUGAGUGGAGGGUAUAACCAGUCGAGGAAGCAACUUGGGAGGCCGAGGAGGACAUAAAGAGCAGAUAUCCGCACUUAUUCAACACUCCAGGUAUGAUUCAAUACCUAUUCGAGGACGAACGUUUGUUUAAGAGGUAGAUAAUGUGACGACCCAACCGGUCAUUUUGCUUUCUAGAUCCCUAUUCCCCUAAUUAAGACUGCCCAUAUGUGCUUUUACUAUUUUAUUACUGGCGGGGAUGGCUGGUUUAGGUUUGGAAGGGUUCGGGUUGAAAUCAAAAUACUUAGUUCCUUAAUAGUGGUCUAAGGUGGCCAAGUUUGACAUGAGUCAACAUUUUGAGUAAACGACCUCGGAACGGGGAUUUAAAGGUUCCAAUAGGUUCAUAUGAUGAUUUUGGACUUUAGAGUCUGUCCGGAUGUCGAUUUGGAGGGCUAUAGGUCGUUUCGGCUUGAAUUUGCAGAAGUUAGAAAGUUGAAGGUUUGGAAGGUUGAGAAAUUGGACCGAGAGCUGACUUAAAUCGGAUUUUGAUUCUGGAAGUUGGAAUAGGUCUUUCAUGUCAUUUAUGACUUGUGUGCAAAAUUUGAGGUCAAUCGGAGUUGUUUUGCUAUGAUUCAGCGUAGGUUUUGGAAGUUAGAUGUUCAUAGUUUUAAUAGGCUUGAAUUGGGUUGCGAUUCAUAUAAUCGAUGUUGUUUGAUGUGAUUUUUGGCCUCGAUUAGGUCUGUUAUGUGUUUUGGAACUUGUUGGUAAACUCAAACAGGGGUCUGGGGGCUCGGGUGUGAUUUGGAUUCAAUUGGAUCAUUUUGGACUUUGGUUGAUUUGUUAAACCUGCUGUUGUUCUGGUGUCAUCGCACAUGCGGAGGGUUUGGCCGCAGGUCCAUGAGGAUUGAUUGCAGAAGCGUUCUGGAGUGAUCUUGGCAGUGAUCGUUGAUUCAAGGUUCUUUCCGCAUCUGCAAGCUCGCCGGUGCGAGGAAAUUGGCCGUAGAUGUGAAUGAGGCCAGUGAGCCCUGGGGUCGCAGGAGCGGAAACCCCUCCGCAGGCGCGAGUGCAGCCAGUUUCCACAAAAGAGGAAUCGUAGGUGAACAUGUUUCUCUACAGAAACAGACUUUCCCGACCUUAGUGGGAACUGCACCUGCAAUGCCUUUUCCGCAGCUGCGACCCUAUGCCCGCAGAAGCAAGGAUCGCUGGGCAGUGAGUGCAUUUAAUCGGGACUUAGGCUAUUUUCCACACACUUUCACUUGGUCUUGGUUGAUUUUGAUAGCUAUUUUGAGGGGGAUUCUCAUCAACAAUACAAGGUAAGUAAACUCCACCCAUUUUCAAGUUAAAUACGAGCAUUAUAGAUAGAUUAAACAUGUAAAAUUAGUGAAACUUGUGGGAUUUUGUGAAUAGCCUAAGGUUUAAGUAAAAUUGAGAUUUGAUCAUGGAUUUGGUGGUUGAAAUUGGAAUAAAUUAUAUAUUUGAGUUCGGGAGAUCAUGGGUAACAUUUAUAUUCGAAUAUUUUCGGAAUCCGGGCACGUAGGCCCGGAUGUGAAUUUUUAGGAAUCUUCUAAAUUUAGUUGGGUAACUACUAUAAUAUCUAAAUUAAAAACUUUCGAGCAUGUGUUUAUUAGUUUAUACGACUUUUAAUUAGUUUCAAAGUCCUCGGCGUCGUUUGAGGAGUUCUAGUGAGGUUGAAGAACCGAAUUGAGGACUUGGCACCGAUGUAAGUCUCUUGCCUAACCUUGUAAGAGGUAAUUUAUCACCUUAGGUGUAAUAAUUGUUGUGUGCUACUUGUUGUGGGAAUCUACGUACGCACGAGGUGACGAGAAUUCGUACGUAGGGAUAUUCAUGAUAUGUUCGGGUAGACUUAGAUUCACAGUAUGCCUUUAAUUGUGCUAUUCAAUUUUCUUGAUUUUGACUGAGAUCUAAGUUUUUAAUAAAGAUAUCGCCUUAGCCUCUACUUAGGUAAAGUUGGGAAAUAUUUAAUAAACUGUAGAUCCGUGUCUUCUCGUCUCGCACGUGCUUCCGCAAGUGAGGUAAACUCCUCUACUCUUAUUGGAUUAGGCUGUUCGCCUCGGUAGUGACAUAAAUUACUCUUAUGGGAUCGGGAUGUUCACCUCGCCGGGAUGGUAACACUACUUUUAUGGGAUCGGGUCGUUCGCCUCGGCAAGUUGGUAAUACUACUAUUAUGGGAUCGGGCCAUUCGCCUCGGCAGUACUGAGUACUACUAUUCCUAUGGGAUCAGGUCGUACGCCUCAGCAAUUUGCUUAAUAAUUGGAAUUGGAAUUUGUUUGGUAAUAAAUGAGUUAGCACCUUCAGUGCCGAUUAUGAAAUGUUUAGCGAAUUGAUCUAGACUCAUGUGUGGAAUUAUUGUAGUUACUUUUAUUUGCUUCGUUGCUAUUUGUUGUACACUCACCAUAUCUAUUUUACGUAUUUCCAUUAUUAUUUGACCUCUAGUAAGUGUCAAGUCGACUCCUCGUCACUAAUUCUUCGAGGUUAGACUAGAUACUUACUGGGCACAUAUUAUUUUUCUUACUCAUGCUACACUUCUGCACUGAUGUGCAAGUACUGAGACAGGUACUACCAGUGGUCACGCGGGCGUGUAGCCGAUCUUCUACGGAGGCUUAGUGGUGAGCUACUUACCUUGCUACGAUCCGCAGCACCAGAGUCUUCCUCUACCUUGAUUAUUAUUUCUGUCUACUACCUUUCAGAUAGUAGUUGUAUUAGUUUUGUAUAUUCCCUAGAUUGCUCAUGCACUUAUGGCAGCAGGUUUUGGGGACUUUUAGCAUUUAUGUACUGUUGUAUUUAUUAUUUCUAUCACUAUAAUGGAUGUACUUAUCACGCUAG